rnacentral:lncRNA from 1 species
CAUGUUCUCCAAAAUGGACAUUUAUCUUACUGGAGAAUUGACGACCACCAAUGAAGACUAUAAGCUCCCAGAAAAUGAAUAAACUACUCAGCUUGAAGUAUCUUGAAAUAAAAGAUAUUUCUAUAAACAUUAGUAGAUACUUAAAGGACUUAAGUUUAAGUUCAGUAGUAUGCUGGACUGCAGCCUUAUCUGGAUCAGAUCAAUGUCAUUGAAGAGCAGGUAGCAGCUCUUGAGCAGACAGCUUAAAAGUUAAAUGCAUUUUUUUAAAACUGGAAGCCAAGUACAAGAAGUUGGAGAAGCG